CCUACGGGGGGCAGCAGUGAGGAAUAUUGCACAAUGGGGGAAACCCUGAUGCAGCGACGCCGCGUGAGUGAAGAAGUAUCUCGGUACGUAAAGCUCUAUCAGCAGGGAAGAAAAUGACGGUACCUGACUAAGAAGCCCCGGCUAACUACGUGCCAGCAGCCGCGGUAAAACGUAGGGGGCAAGCGUUAUCCGGAUUUACUGGGUGUAAAGGGAGCGUAGACGGGUGAACAAGUCUGGAGUGAAAUCCCGGGGCUUAACCCCGGAACUGCUUUGGAAACUGGGCGGCUGGAGUGCAGGAGGGGGAAGCAGAAUUCCUAGUGUAGCGGUGAAAUGCGUAGAGAUUAGGAGGAACACCGGUGGCGAAGGCGGCUUACUGGACUGUAACUGACGUUGAGGCUCGAAAGCGUGGGGAGCAAACAGGAUUAGAUACCCCAGUAGUC
rnacentral:rRNA from 1 species